UCACGGUGGCGGCUGGGGACAGCCCCAUGGUGGUGGCGGCUGG
rfam:Loxodonta africana unplaced genomic scaffold scaffold_19, whole genome shotgun sequence.